CUGGGAGCCGGGCGGUGACUGUCCUGAGCGUGCGAAAGCCGCCGACUCCGGAGAAAUCCCCCUCCUCCAGGGGCUAAAAGGAAGAUGUCCUGUGAUCCAUAGUCAACCCUAUAAUUGAGGACAAUGUCUUGGAGGUUAUGUUUGAGAAACAAGAUGGAAGGAAACCGUGUGACUGCAUGGAGCAGCCUGGAACUCAGACACUAAAUUAAGAAAUGAAUUUCUGUCUUUUCUGAGC